AUUGAACGCUGGCGGCAUGCCUAACACAUGCAAGUCGAACGGCAGCGCGGGGGCAACCCUGGCGGCGAGUGGCGGACGGGUGAGGAAUGCAUCGGAAUCUGCCUGGUUGUGGGGGAUAACGUAGGGAAACUUACGCUAAUACCGCAUACGACCUACGGGUGAAAGUGGGGGACCGCAAGGCCUCACGCGAUCAGAGGAGCCGAUGCCGGAUUAGCUAGUUGGCGGGGUAAAGGCCCACCAAGGCGACGAUCCGUAGCUGGUCUGAGAGGAUGAUCAGCCACACUGGAACUGAGACACGGUCCAGACUCCUACGGGAGGCAGCAGUGGGGAAUAUUGGACAAUGGGCGCAAGCCUGAUCCAGCAAUGCCGCGUGUGUGAAGAAGGCCCUCGGGUUGUAAAGCACUUUUGUACGGGAAGAAAAGCUUUGGGUUAAUACCCUGUGCGGAUGACGGUACCGGCAUAAGAAGCACCGGCUAACUACGUGCCAGCAGCCGCGGU
rnacentral:rRNA from 1 species